GGCAGAUUGCUUUCCAUUGGUUGGCACUAGAAGAACUGGCAACAGUGUUUUGGUUCACUAGGACCUUUCGGUAUCACUUUCAAAAUGCGUACUAAAUAAUGUUGGGGCUCUGUUUUGAAAACAAGACCAUUCGGUGCACUCGCAUACCGAACCGAUCAGCAAAAUGGUAGAAAGAUACAGCAUAGAUUCAGAAGACGACAUGUUGGUCUAAAGCUCACAUGUUUAGCAGGCUUUUUAGUGUGCCUGUCAGCAACUCAACAUCUCUGUAUGCCGGUUGUCGUUCAAUACUUCGCACGAUAUUUCAACUGGGCACCUGCCAGUCAUCUUCAGGAUCAACUGCCAGAGACUGCGCCAUUCAUCAAUCCUCUGCAGGUCAUUCUACAAAUCAAUGCUGUCUUCUGGCAUUGCUACUUUCUGACAGACAACCACAUCAGCUGCAAAGAGUCUUAAAGAGCUUCUGAUGCUUUCUAUUAUAUCAUUUAUAUACAUUGUAAACAAUAACAGCUCUAUCACACUCCCCAAAUUACAUUUACAUCUGUUGAUUUUGUUUCGUUAAGAGCAACAUGUUGAGCUCUGUCUGUAAGAAAGUCUUGAAUUAAGUGAAAAACCUACCAGGAUGGAGGCACGCCUUGACAAUAUAAUUAGCUUUAUCUGUAGGAAUCAAGUAGAGUGUGAUACCAUCAAAUGAGGACUAUCUGACCAUGAUGACAUAUGGCUCAAAAUUGGAAAUCUGACUCUUGAUGAUACCAGGAUGCUAACUACAUAUAGAGCUCUCAAGGAAGAGAACAAUGAAGUAAUGAGAAAUGAACUGAGUAGAAUAGAAGGGGCUAGAAUACUAACCAUCAACAAAGAUAUAAAUGAAAACUUUUCUGCAUUCAUAUACAAUAUAAAAAAUACAUUAGACAAUAUCUGUUCUCUUAUCACUAAGGGAGGUAACCCUAGCAAUAUGCAUAAACCACAACACACAAAAAAGUGGCACACCUCACACCUCAAUAAAAUCAGAAUUCUUCUACUCACACUGAAGGACAAAAUUGAAGGCAGUCAAGAAAACAAGAAUAGGUAUAUAAACUUACAAAAAAUAGACAAAUCUGAAAUUAAAGCAGCAAAAAUGAAAGCAAAUGAAGAAUUAUUUUAAAUUCUAAAAACAAAUGCAAAGCUGCCUGGAACAUAGUUAUAAGUGAGAUAAACAUGGGAAAGGAAGAAAUCAGUGCCCUAAUGAAAAUUAAUUAUACAGACAAGAUAAAAAACACUUCAUAUAAGAACUUAAAUAACAAAUUCCAGUGAAAUUAGCUCUAAACAAAAAUUUGAGAUUUCCAUGUGCAUGUCACAUAUCACACAGUAAAUGUAUUGAAAAUAAGACAAUACUUUGCAAAAAAAAUUGGUUAUUUUUGGGAGUAAAAAAAUAUUACAGAUUGAAAGACUCCACCAGCUUUGUCACAAAACUGAAGUAGUAAAGUGAUAAAUAAAGUGGCUCACCCACGGCAAAAAAUUUCAAUGCAAGGAAAAGGCAGUUGAGCAAAAAACUAAAACAUCAAAGAAAUACUUAUUUCAGUGGCUAUAUUAGAAUUUAUAAAAUGACUAGCUUUUUACCUAUGGGUUCACGCCCGUAUGUGUUGUGAUAUACAAUUACCACCAAACCAGUAAUCAAAAUAAGAUUAUAUGUUCCAAAUUCAAAUGACAAACUUUUAACAAGUGUUUGUCACUUCAAGUUGAAGUUGACAGAGUUUUAUUCACAUAUAACCUGGUAACAAAAACACUCACCUAAUUUUGUGAUGUAGUCCUUCAUAUUGAUUUAGGGGAAGGGAAGGGGGUCUGUCUGCAUUUUGGUGCCUAGAGAAAUCUUAUGAGCGAGUUUCUCUAAAUAAUAUAGGUGACACCAGGCCUGUAAUUAAACUUUGAUGUUUAUUACACUUUACUUCUUUGCACAAAAGUUUGAGAUAAAAUUGUGGCUUCUGCUGAUGUGGAGCCCAAACAAAUUUGGAUAUGUGUACAAUAAACAUGGUUGCCUUUGUAACUCCAGCUUUUCUCUUUUAUAACCUAUUAUUAGAUUUGUUAAAUAGGUUAAUUUACAAUAAAAAUUGAAUUUUUAUUACUUUCCACAUAUUAUUUGAUUACAGAUGCAUUUGCAGAAUGGUGCAUUGUUUUCUUUAUUUCAACAGCAAGUGUGUCACAUACACUAUUGAUUUGUAUAAGUCGUUGAACAAUAUAAGAAAUAAAGGGUUACUUAACUUGUUGAUUAUAGUAAGGUUUUUUGCUCUCAACAAUUACAUGGUUUUCUGAUCUAAAAGUACAAACAAAUUAUGAAAUUAGUUUUAAACAUAAGAAUUUGAGAUCAAAGGAAAUGUGCAGUUUUUGAACUUUUGCUAUUGCAAUUAAACAUACUACUGAGUUUUCUGCUAUUGGUACUUUUGUAUUGGACAAUUUGGUUUAGAGAAAGAAAUCAUAUAAUACGUGUUUCAAAAAUAUGCAAAAUCUGGCAUCAUGACAGUUCUUAUUGAGCAAUAUUGAACAUUUCAUAAUGUCCAAUACAUCACAUAUAUUGCACAUAUGUAUUUCUGAUUCUCACGACCUGGUAUACAGACUGAACAUCACAAACAAGAAACAAACUGGACUUCAUGCUUUUAAAGUAUCCCAAGUCAACUAAAUAAAUGAAAGAAAUACCAACAGGUCGUAGUAGAGGUAUCCUACUCUCACAGUACUUUUGUACCAAAAAUGAAUCAUGUAAGUUGUAUCAGACGAAAAUACUCUCCUUCGGUACAACGGCGUGUUCUUCGGUUUGCUUCAGGAGGAGACCGAAGAGAUAGUAUAACAUGAAAAAUAUUAGUUCACCUUAUUGUAAUAUAGGUAAGAAGAAUUACUUAACUUUGCACAACUCAUUUCCACAGGAAUAUCAUAAGUACUUCCAACUGUAUAUGAACAAUGACAUAUGACUUGAUACAGACAAAAUAUAAGUCUCUCAUUCAGAUUGUAUCUAACAAUAACUUUCACAUAGUGCUCUGCCUAAUACAGUGAUCAAAUAGCUGGCUUAUUAGAAGACAGCAUUGUCAUCUUACUCAAUGAUUGCAGACUGAGCUGAAUUCUACUACACUCAGCCAUUAGUAAAAGAUCCGUUGAAGCAUAGCAAAAUGUUUCUCAGUGUGGCUACACUGGUGGCGCUCAUUCAUCAAUGUUGCUUGCAGUGACUAUCUGUUCUUGUAGUUAUAUUGAGAGGUACCAACCUCACUUUGACACCUCGCUCUUCAGAUGACACCACAAUGUAUAUACCAAAUUUGACUGAAACUGCUCCAGGUCUACCUGAGUUAGGCUUUUAUAUCACCUCUGCCCUCAGCCGUAGGGGUGGGUUUCCAGAUUGCAAGUGAUAACCCCUACACUUAUAAAAGGUAGAUGGUUUCUAGCAACACCGUUCUUUGUCCAGAUAGUAAAUGAUAUGUGUAUAAAGCUUAGUUGAAAGCUGUUCAUUGGUUUAGGAGAAAAUGAGGAACAUACCUACAUAAAUUUUUGUAAUAUACAAGAGGUUAUAAUGGUACAGCUCCAGCUAGAUUCAUAUGAAAUGUCUGCUAACACCUUUUUUUUAUGCAUCCGGGUGGUUUUCGGAUGAUUCAGUACUUGAUGGAGACUUUCGUGUGUGUUUUGGAUGCAUUAUUCAAUUCAAUUUGCCAAAAUACUGUUUAUUAUUUGUAAACACAUAUUUAAUAUUCUGAAAGGAUGUAUAUUGCUGUAAUUGUCUAUGGAUUGUUGUUGUUAAAAAAAUUAUGUACAGGUUCCAAAUCAAAAACCUAGCUGAGAAGUUGAAGUAAGAGAUAUUUAGUAACAAAUGUUAAGAGGCUGUGGAAAUUUUGGAAUAAGUGGCUGGCACCUCUAAUUAUUUUAAUUGCAGAUGAUUGGUGGGUUGACACAGAGAACCUCAUUAUAUUGAGAAACGGGUUAAAAAUUAUUACUAAGUGAUGUAUUUUCAUUUUUUAUCUAUUUUUAUGUCCUCCUCUGUAAUUAAUAUCCUUUGCAAUUACAUUUCUAAUUAACUAUCCAAUUGUUUACAUCACACAACUUUCCUAUUGUCAUAAUUUGAGGCCUUACAAAAUUAUUACAGAUGUAGUCAGAUAAAGCAUGAGAUUUGUACUGUUGUUGAAUGUUAGAGACCAGAUCCAAACUGUAAUUAAUUAUGUAGCUAACAUAAUACAACAGACAUUAUUGUAAUUAAAGUUCAGAUCAAUUUUCAUAUUCAAAACUAAUGAUAAUACUAUAAAAAAUAUGUCAAUUAAUAUUGUAUUUUAUAACUUAUUUGUCUGUAACAUCAGUUUCUUUAUGUUUUGUAAAUUUUAACUGUAAUAUCAAAAUUGUACAAAAUUAAUAAUGGGUUAUUUUGAAAUUUAUUGUUAAAAUUCUACAUAAAGCAAAGCAGCGAUGCUGCCAAGUGUCAGUCAGUUAGUUGUUGCUUUGUCAGUCAGUCAAAGAGAUCUGUGAAGUAUGUCAGUCAAUGUUUUGUUAACAUGACAAGCAUGCAGUUCAGUUGUCAAUAAAUUUUGUGAAGUUGUAAA